rnacentral:rRNA from 1 species
UACGAGGGGGGCAAGCGUUGUUCGGAAUUAUUGGGCGUAAAGGGCGCGUAGGCGGUUUGACAAGUCUGAUGUGAAAUCUAUGGGCUCAACCCAUAGCCUGCAUUAGAAACUGUCGGGCUUGAGUAUGGGGAGAGGUGAGUGGAAUUUCCGGUGCGCGGUGAAAUGCGUAGAUAUCGGAAGGAACACCUGUGGCGAAAAGCGGACUCACUGGACCAUAACUGACGCUGAGGCGCGAAAGCUAGGGGAGCAAACAGG